rnacentral:lncRNA from 1 species
GGGCACCCACGUCUAUAAUAUUAUAGACAUCAGGGCCCCUCCAACCGAUGUCUAUAUGUCUAACAGUUAGACGAAAAGUCAUUUUUUUUUUACACCUAGACGUCUGAUCCCGCCACCUCGACGUCUAUAUGCGAUUAUAGGCGUCGGCUCCCCUUACAACUGACGUCUAUAUAUACCACAAAUAUUAAUUUUUAAAUUGAAUGGACGACACAUUAGUGAGGUCCCC